CUGCUUUCAUCCUCGUACAGUUUCUCCUUCUUCCUUCAGCAGGUCCUCCACACUGGCCCUUUCAUGGCAGACCGUGGCCCCUGACUGACUGGACCCUGCAGUCCCUGUCCUCUGCUCACCAGAGGCCGGCGGUGGUGGCGGUGCGGUGCCAGCAAGUCCAACUAUUCCUUCUGCUGCAUUUAAUUAUUAUCAUUGCACAAUAAUUAGGGCUGUGGAAGAUGAAUCAAGCAUCAGGAUUAAUCCGAUUAAAAUGUUGACACGAUUAACGCGUCAUUAUCUCCUUAAUUGGUUCGUUCUUCCAGACACAGAGUUUUUUCCUCAAUAACAUGUGUUUUUUUUUGUGUAAUAAUAAUCAGUAACAAUCGCUUCUGUGUUGUGCAGCAUUUAAAGGAGGAUGUGCUCAAACAGACUAAUGUGGUUUAGAUUACAUUACUACGUCACAUGUUUAACUCAUAACUAAUACAUGUAUCGAUGUAGCUGAUAUAUUCCACUAUUAUCUGUAUUGAAAUAUCUACAUUAAACAGGGAUGUGUAUCCCUGAACGCACUCGAUCAGCCAAUGGGCCAAUCAGAAACUGGAUGCCGUCACGUGAUUUACGGGAAAUGGACUAUUGAGCCUAUAAGGGCAUGCCCACCCCCAUGCGGUGGGAUCUGGAGCAGGCUCUGUGCGCUGGAUGUGUUUAUUUCAGGCUGCGCUGGGAGCGGCGGGAUCCUCCAGCUGCCUGGAUUUAAAGACUUGGAAAAGAGAGAAGAUGAUCCUGCUGCUCCUCAUCCUCACCUCCUCAGCAGCAGCACUUGAAGUGAAGGAGACACAGAGCUCCUAUCAGGCAGAGGAGAACCACAACAUCACACUGGAGUGGACGUUCCCCACAGACACUCAGACUAAGACUGAGGACAUUCAUGUCCACUGUUCUCAUUUAACCAGACAGAAAGAAUCAGCCCUGUAUCAGGUCAUUGCUGGUGUUGAGCUCUCAGAGUCUGUGGAUGAAGGUUUUUCAGGAAGAGUCCAGAGUGACACAGACGCCCUCAGAGAGGGACGAAUCAGACUUCAUCUGUCCAGACUCAGGACUGAAGACUCUGGUCUGUAUGUGUGUGAAGUGACAAUAGCUGCAGUGACCCGCUUAGCCUCCUGUGAGCUCACAGUCUCUGCAGCUGCUGCUCAGACACACAGUGACAGACCAGCUCUGAGUCCAGCAGCAGACACAGGAUGGACAGGACUCAUCCUUGGAUUGACAGCAGCAGGAGUAGCUGCAAUGAUCAUCAGUGCGGUUUUUGUUUUUGGAGAGAGACUGCAGUCUGGUGUCUCAGAACAACCACUCAAUUACCAUGUUGUUCCUACGAGAGGAACUUGAAUAAUUAAUAUGAAAUUAUAUCAACAGCACGUGACGGAUUACAGAAUUAAAGCUGAAAGCAGCAUUGCUGGCCCUCGCACACCUUGCGAUCCGAGGGGCCAUUGCUUUGCCCUCUCCUAUGCUCUCCUCUCCUCUCAUUUCCAGAUUUACAGCAAAUACACGUUUAGAAGACAAAGUUCCUGUUGCCAGUAGGUGGCGCUAUGACUGUAUCAUCCUAAUAGCAUAUAUAUAUGUUCAGACUCGGGUCCAUAGCAGCACUGUAAGAUUUUGUCCACAUUGCAUGAAGUAUGUUGGUGGUACUGCAGAAAAUAUAGUGUUUCUUUGUAAUGGUGAAUGGUCAACUUUGAGGCCACGACCCGGCCACACCGUAAGACUUUUGAAAGAGUUUUGAAAUGCGUCUAUUCCCUAUGGUGUCCUGAGUGGACACAGUAAAUUUCAGCUCCAUUGGAUGAAGUAUGAGAGGCGUGAAAAGUUUUGUAGCAGGGUCACAAAUUGACAAAAAUUGCCAAAAAAGUAAAAAUGGCGGACUUCCUGUUGGGUUUGGACGGGGGGUCCAAGAGACUUUUUUGUGCAUCUGGAGGUGAUACAUAUGUGUGCCAAUUUUAAUGUUGCUGUGUCAAACUGGCCAGAGGGGCUACGGUACAUGUUAGAGCAAAAAAUACAGGGGCACAGUGAAUUUCAGCUCGAUUGGAUGAAGUAUGCGAGGUGUAAAAAGUUUUGCAGGGUCACAUAUCGCCAAAAAUGACCAAUUCAAAAUGACGGACUUCGUGUGACUUUUUUGUGUGUCUUGGGGUGAAACCAAGCGGCAACCUUCGGGGCUCAAACUUAAAGCCCAUGCGGAAGUGUCAAAACUUGUAAUUCACGCCGCAGCCACUGGGGGCUGGCUCCAAAAACUAGUCAUUUCCCAUAGACUCCCAUGUUAAAAUGGCCGAAUUCACAGCAGGAAUGAACAUGUUUACAGUCUGGUAGAAAAAAGCUGUGUCAGCAGCUGGACUUUGUGGAGACAAUCUAUCCAUAUCAAAGUCAAAGUCAGCUUUAUUGUCAAAUCUGCUAUAUGUGCUGGACAUACAGAGAAACUCCUCUCAGCUGCUCUCACUAUGCGAUGAAGCGUCUUCCUGCAGGUGGCGGUGCAGGCUCCGUACCACACAGUGAUGCAGCUGGACAGGAUGCUGUCAACAGCCCCUCUGUAGAAGGUGCACAGGAUGGAGGGAGGGGCUCUGGCUCCUCUGAGCUUGCGGAGGAAGUAGAGGCGCUGCUGUGCCUUCUUGGUCAGUGAUGCAGUGUUGGUAGUCCAGGAGAGGUCCUCAGUGAUGUGCACACCCAGGAACUUGGUGCUGCUCACCUGCUCCACAGCAGCACUCUUGAUGGUCAGAGGGGUGUGCUGACUGUGUGCUCUCCUGUAGUCCACCAUCUCCUUGGUCUUCUCCACAUUCAGGGAGAGGUCGUGGUCUCUGCACCACUCGGCCAGAAGGUGCACCUCAUUCCUGUAGUUUCUUUCAUCUCCACUGAAGAUGAGACCCACCACAGCACUGUCGUCUGUAUCCAUAUGUCUUACUAUGGAAAUAUGUGUGAUGUUACUCCUAUGAUCUCAUACAUGAUAUGUUACUGUCAUAUAUGAUGUGACUAUCCUGAUGCUUGUGUGUAUUCUGAGAAGCUGCGCCUGUUAGAUAACACAGGGUGUGAGAAGUGAGAGUCCUAGUGUUGAUGUUUGGACUGAUGAUAAGAGCAGUGAGCUCUGUGUCUCCUGUUAUGAUGCAUUACAGUGUUCAGACUGCACUUUUAUUUUCUUACAUGAAGAACUCUGUCAUGAUUAUAGAGGCAUGUCUGACGUGUGUUUCAGUCUCUUCAUCCUCCUCCUCCUCAUCCUUUAACUCUUUCAGGCUGUGAACCUGCUGAAUCAGCAUGCUGCUGUGCUCUAAUAAAGACUGUAAUGAACUGUUCA
ensembl:lncRNA